AGUUACAAGGACAGUACAGAGAGUUCCCAUCUACACUCACCUAGAUUCUCCUAUUGUUUACAUCUUACAUUACUAUGGUACAUUUGUCACAACUAAGGGAUUAACACUUGAAUAUGAUUACUAACUAAACUCCACAGUUUUGUUCAGAUUUCACUAGUUUUUCCCUACUGUUCUUUUUCAGUUCCAGGAUACCACAUUAGCUUCCUAUGGUCUGUGACAAUUUCUCAGGCUUUUCUCGUUUCUGAUGACCUUGACAGCUUUGAAGAGUACUGGUCAGGUACUUUGCAGCAUGUCUCUCCAUUUGGGACUGUGUUUUCCUCACCGCCAGUCUGCAAUUAUGGGUUACUGGCAGGAAGAUCACAGAGAGGAGGUGCCAUUCUUUUCACAUCACAUCAAGGGUACAUCCUACCAGUAUGACUUAUUGAUGACAACUGGAUGACCUGGCCAAGAUGUUGGGGAAGUGGGGUGAGAACACAGCAGGCAAACUACUCUCCGUUAUAGUCAAGGGACUGCUGUCAAACCAUCCUGGCACAUAACAGCACAGAAAUUAAUUCUCAUUUUGAUCCAGUUUGUUUCAACACUUAAGAGUUCUCAUUAAGAAGCCUGUUAUCUUGUAAAGCAAAUAACGUCUAAUAAAGACAUUAAAAAAUAAAAUAAAUGUAAAAAAAAAAA